rnacentral:rRNA from 1 species
UACGGGGGGGGCAAGCGUUGUUCGGAAUUACUGGGCGUAAAGGGCUCGUAGGCGGCCAACUAAGUCAGACGUGAAAUCCCUCGGCUUAACCGGGGAACUGCUUCCGAUACUGGAUGGCUUGAGUGUGGGAGAGGGAUGCGGAAUUCCAGGUGUAGCGGUGAAAUGCAUAGAUAUCUGGAGGAACACCGGUGGCGAAGGCGGCAUCCUGGACUACUACUGACGCUGAGGAGCGAAAGCCAGGGGAGCAAACGGG